rnacentral:siRNA from 1 species
AGCAGACUGCUCAGACAUGAUGGA